rnacentral:rRNA from 1 species
UCGAGCGGACAGAUGGGAGCUUGCUCCCUGAUGUCAGCGGCGGACGGGUGAGUAACACGUGGGUAACCUGCCUGUAAGACUGGGAUAACUCCGGGAAACCGGGGCUAAUACCGGAUGCUUGAUUGAACCGCAUGGUUCAAUUAUAAAAGGUGGCUUUUAGCUACCACUUACAGAUGGACCCGCGGCGCAUUAGCUAGUUGGUGAGGUAACGGCUCACCAAGGCAACGAUGCGUAGCCGACCUGAGAGGGUGAUCGGCCACACUGGGACUGAGACACGGCCCAAACUCCUACGGGAGGCAGCAGUAGGGAAUCUUCCGCAAUGGACGAAAGUCUGACGGAGCAACGCCGCGUGAGUGAUGAAGGUUUUCGGAUCGUAAAACUCUGUUGUUAGGGAAGAACAAGUACCGUUCGAAUAGGGCGGUACCUUGACGGUACCUAACCAGAAAGCCACGGCUAACUACGUGCCAGCAGCCGCGGUAAUACGUAGGUGGCAAGCGUUGUCCGGAAUUAUUGGGCGUAAAGCGCGCGCAGGCGGUUUCUUAAGUCUGAUGUGAAAGCCCCCGGCUCAACCGGGGAGGGUCAUUGGAAACUGGGGAACUUGAGUGCAGAAGAGGAGAGUGGAAUUCCACGUGUAGCGGUGAAAUGCGUAGAGAUGUGGAGGAACACCAGUGGCGAAGGCGACUCUCUGGUCUGUAACUGACGCUGAGGCGCGAAAGCGUGGGGAGCGAACAGGAUUAGAUACCCUGGUAGUCCACGCCGUAAACGAUGAGUGCUAAGUGUUAGAGGGUUUCCGCCCUUUAGUGCUGCAGCAAACGCAUUAAGCACUCCGCCUGGGGAGUACGG